rnacentral:rRNA from 1 species
GUCGUAACAAGGUUUCCGUAGGUGAACCUGCGGAAGGAUCAUUACCACACUUUUCAAUUGAACUUCGCCCCCUCCUCACGGGGGAGGCGAACUUCUCGUCCCUUGGACAAACUGAAACACUUUUCGGCAGGCAUCCUGUAUGCCUCGUCGACAAACCAUUACUAUCCUUUUGUAAGCCAAAAGUGAUUUAAGAAAUUAAAUCUGAUGACGAAAAUAGGAAACAGUGACGGCGCGUCAAACCGCAGUCCUGUAGAAUAUUAACGAAAUCAACACUUUCAGCAAUGGAUGUCUUGGCUCCCACAACGAUGAAGAACGCAGCGAAAUGCGAUACGUCAUGCGACACGCAAUAUCCAGUGAGUCAUCAAAACUUUGAACGCAACUUGCACUUCCUCGGGAGUAUGUCUGUUGGAGUGUCUGUUCAUCCCCACCACAACCCCUUGUGGGUAAAGUGAAGGCGGCCUCGACGGUACCCACCCUCGUGAGCCCAGAUGAACAGUCUCUUGCUCUCCGGAGCGGGGACGAUCCAAACAACCACCGAACCUCGUCCGAGUGCUCAUCACUCCGGGACGACGCGACGUCAUUUACUGAAAACGCGUUGGUACCGAAGUGAGCCAUUGAGUCUUGGGCUGUAGUAGGCCUAGGUGACAUCCGAUCGGACCUCCAAUCAGGCAAGAUUACCCGCCGAAUUUAAGCAUAUUAUUAAGCGGAGGAAAAGAAACUAACAAGGAUUCCCUCAGUAAGGGCGACUGAAGCGGGAAGAGCUCAGACUGAAAAUCUUCGGAAUUGUAGUCUGGAGAAGCAACACCAGUUGGUAGGCCGGGCUAAGUGACUUGGAACAGUCCGCCAUGGAGGGUGACAGCCCCGUUCAUGCCUGGUCUCGAUGCGUACGGUGUGCUUUCUACGAGUCGAUUUGUUUGGGAUUGCAGAUCUAAGUGGGUGGUAAAUUCCAUCUAAAGCUAAAUAUUGGUGGGAGACCGAUAGCGAACAAGUACCGUGAGGGAAAGAUGAAAAGCACUUUGAAAAGAGAGUGAAAGAGUACCUGAAAUUGCUGAAAAGGAACCGUAGGGAGGUAGUGUUGGAGGGUUUCCCAUUUAUGGGUUGCUCUCAAGUUAGGCUUUCUUCUUUAUGUGGGAAAAGCUUUGGUUUCCAUCUGGGGCCAUUUUGCUGUCAUGUGAAGGAGAGACUUUAACGAAAUGCCUCUCUACAACCCGUCUUGAAACACGGACCAAGGAGUCUAACAUAUGUGCGAGUGCUCGGAGUAGAACUCCCAGCGCGGAAUUAACGUAAAGGGCACCUAGUGUCUGAGGUAGGAACUUUUGUGCACUAUCGACCGACCAUGAUUCUCCGGAUGAAAGGUUUGAGUGUGAGCAUAUAUGUUGGGACCCGAAAGAUGGUGAACUAUGCGUGA